rnacentral:tRNA from 1 species
GUGGCUGUAGCUCAGCCUGGUUAGAGCUCCAGAUUGUGGAUCUGGCUGUCGCGGGUUCAAAUCCCGUCAGCCACCCCA